AACGAACGCUGGCGGCAGGCCUAACACAUGCAAGUCGAGCGCCUCAGCAAUGGGGAGCGGCAGACGGGUGAGUAACGCGUGGGUAUCUACCUAGUGGUACGGAAUAGCCCAGGGAAACUUGGAGUAAUACCGUAUAAGCCCGAAAGGGGAAAGAUUCAUCGCCAUUAGAUGAGCCCGCGUUGGAUUAGCUAGUUGGUGGGGUAACGGCCCACCAAGGCGACGAUCCAUAGCUGGUUUGAGAGAAUGACCAGCCACACUGGGACUGAGACACGGCCCAGACUCCUACGGGAGGCAGCAGUGGGGAAUCUUGGACAAUGGGCGAAAGCCUGAUCCAGCCAUGCCGCGUGAGUGACGAAGGUCUUCGGAUUGUAAAGCUCUUUUGGCGGGGACGAUAAUGACGGUACCCGCAGAAUAAGCCCCGGCUAACUUCGUGCCAGCAGCCGCAGUAAGAC
rnacentral:rRNA from 1 species